GAACUUAAGAGUUUGAUCCUGGCUCAGAUUGAACGCUGGCGGCAUGCUUUACACAUGCAAGUCGAACGGUAACAGGGAGCUUGCUCCGCUGACGAGUGGCGAACGGGUGAGUAAUGCAUCGGAACGUGCCUAUUUGUGGGGGAUAACGUAGCGAAAGUUACGCUAAUACCGCAUACGCCCUGAGGGGGAAAGCGGGGGAUUCGUAAGAACCUCGCGCAAUUAGAGCGGCCGAUGUCGGAUUAGCUAGUUGGUGGGGUAAAGGCUCACCAAGGCGACGAUCCGUAGCGGGUCUGAGAGGAUGAUCCGCCACACUGGGACUGAGACACGGCCCAGACUCCUACGGGAGGCAGCAGUGGGGA
rnacentral:rRNA from 1 species